rnacentral:sRNA from 1 species
UAAAAAUUUUGUCUUCCACAUCUGUUGACAUGUACAUGUAUGCAUGUAGAUAUUGAAAAAAAUAAUUAAUAUUGGAUAAAUCAAUAUCUACAUGCAUACAUGUCAACAGAUGUGGAAGACAAAAUUCUUA